AGGUGGACGCUUAGCCAACUGAGCCACCCAGGCUCCUGAACAGCAGCCUGAAUCUUUAAGCUUUGCAGAUGACUGCUAGGCAGAGAAAGGAUUGGGGUGACCUGACUUCCUCUCUUUCAUGAGUACUCUGACUCUAACCUUCUGCUGAACCAUUAAAAAACCUACGUUUCCCAAACUAUAUUUUCUUAUUGCAGGCAUUUAUGGAGAUUGCAAUUACUUCUAGGGGGAACUGUCAUAAAUAUUGCAUUGGAAGUUGGUCAAACGUUUAUAGCUUUAUCUCGGAGAUGGAGUCACCGGUAACAUGUGUAUCUGUUUGCCAUUGGUGUUGACUAAGCCCUCCUCAAGGUACCAGAAGCAUUGUAUUUUAUUUGUGCUUCUUAUUCUGAUCGAACGAGAACAUUAUAAAGAGCCUCACUGAGUCUACAGAAAUGGCAACUGUGUUGCUUUAGGAAACUGGCUCAUAAAUUUAUCAGAAAGAGCUGCAUUUAUUGGUUUAGGCCUGUUUAUUUGUACCAAAUGCAAAGAUUUGCUUUAUUCAAGAAGUAAGCAAAUUUCAGUCUUACUUUUUAAUUGUCAUUAUGUAAUUGGUUGUCGAUAAACAAGAUAAGGGGAACAUUUCUUAGCUGUUAGUGGUCAAAUGGAUAAGGCCUUGGCCUGAAGACUUCAUCAUAAAAAUCCAUUCCUUGAUGAAAGGCACUUACAAAGACCAGCCUCCUGAAAUACCACAUGACAAAUUUACAGAACUCUAUGGUUUUGUGAUUCCUUGCAUCUACUCAUCCAUGGGGAAGAAACAUGCACAUUCAAAAGCAGCUCCUGGCCACCGUGCUCCAUGCUCCAAACCCUGUGUGUGGCUUUUGUGGCAGUGCCACGUCAUGGGCUGUCAGGGACGCAGUUAUUCUUCCUCACGAGGGAGUGCUGAGGACCACUGGCCACUGUGAACCCUUUUCCCAGCCAGCAUGCUUCGUUUUCCAUUUGUGUGAUUUUCUGUCAUGAUAAAGACAGAGUUUUCACCUUGUUGCAGAACAGUUAGCAUCAUGACUUUGUUUCACAAAUUACAGAAUUAAUAUAAAUUUGGGCUGGUUUUUUUUUUUUUUUUCCAUCUCUGCCUUGUUUCAUGCUGCUUUACCUAUCAUCCCUGGGGCCUCAAGGAGCCAUAUUAUGAUCCUAUAGGUCCUGGAGCCCGUCAGACUUUGUCUUCUAGCUCAAGUGUUGCUGAAGACUCCAGUGCAGGGAAGGGAGAUGGGUGCAGGUGUAAUCAGAGAGACAGGCUGUUUCUGUGAUUUGUGAGAACUGUCAGAUAUACAAUUAUAAAUAUAAGGUGCAGGAAGAUGAGAUUAAGAUGCUAGUUGGGGAAAAAGAAAAUCCAGUUAAGGUAUCCCCAGUUUCCAAAGGGAAUAUAUAUUGCCAGAGUAAAAUAAUGGGCAAGAAGGCAGUUUUCAUUAUGCUGUGGCCUUAGCUCCAAACACAAUGCAGAACUCCAUUGCACAGAGACAUAAUCUGCCUGUACCAAGGGCAGGCUUAGGAUCUCUUACCAGUGCAGUUUUGAGGGGAGGCAAUCACUUGGAUUCCCACCCCUGAGUCUCAGAUCUCCCUGCUUGAAUGGCAAGGGUCUGAGGCAACCAUAGCACUAGCUGCAGCCGCUGUGAGGCUCACUCUUCCCACUGUCUCAGUACAGCGAAAUGGUUCUAAAAAGAGAGAAGGCAGCCAAAUGAAACAGAGACGCCUGGGUUUUUGGCGUGUCUCUGCCUUGCCUCUCAGGAUUAUGGAAAAACAGCGUCAGAAGGCAGAAUGGAUAUUUAUGCAUACAGUCUCUAACUCUUUUGAAAGAUAGGCACCCAAGGGCAAUAGUCAGAUUCAUAGAAAAACUCCUCCCCCAUGAAGAUGAGCUGAGCACAGGGUCUGCAAAACAACGUAUGUGUAGGUAAGCUCGUCACCAAUUUUACUCAUGUAACGUAGAGCAUUCCGUUUAUAAAUAAUAAUAAAAUAUACAAUACUUUGAUUAUGAAUUCUGUAUCAGCAAUUGAUCCUUCCGGAAACUUUCAUUGAUUUUUGCCAGACUCAUGUAUCCAUAGCCAAACUGUGAUUGCAACUGAUGAAUGAGUGUAGUUCCGACAUGAAUGUUGAUUCAUAUUUUCAUUCGCAUUAACACGUAAGAUGGAAAUAAAAUAGGGAUGUAUGCCAGAUCUUCACUCAUUUGUCAAUGAAGUGAAUGACUUUGCUAAAUACUAUCAGAAUGUAAUUUUUGAACACUGUAAGACUAAAUCAUCAAUUUUUGUCCUAUUCACAAUAUAACAGCUACAGACACAUUUUUGACUCUAACCUGCAUUAUUAACUUCUUUUCCAUCACUUUGUUAGAUGUAAACAAUAAACACAAUGAUAAAUCAAGCUUUGAGUUACUUCAUCUGAUGAUUUCCACACUGUAAAUACAAUCUCCGAGGCUGAUGUCAAGCUCCAAGAGAAGAGUGUACCUGCCCUGCUCUCUGAAACCAGAGGAAGUGGCUUCUAUCAUGUCUUUGUCUCAGAGCAUCAUGCAACCUUGGCAAGCAGAGGGCUGUGGCGAUUAAGAGCAAGACUGUUCAGAGUCUGGCCCUGCCACUCACUACCCUUGUGAACGUGGCCAGGCCUCUGUUUCCUCAAGCUAGGGGGUGAUGUUCAUAACAGCAUCCGCCUCAUAGAACUGCCACGCGAGGGAAGUGUGGCGAUGUCUGGGAAGCUCCCAGGGCGGUAUCUGGCCCCAAAUGAGAACUGACUAAACUUCAUGUAUCCUCUGUUUCCCCGCUUCUUCCCCCUAUGUCACGACCUCCGUCUGCACCAUCAUAUUUAUCCUCUUCACUGUAUCCUCUUCAU